AUUGGGUCAAAGCUGGAUUGAUAAAGCUUCACGGUCCAAGCAGCUCGGUGCCGUACGUCGAGUGACAGUGAGCAGUGAGCACCACAAUCGAGCUCGCCUGAUUUCAGACACAAUCAGCAAAAGCCGAUUCAUAUCAGCACCAGGAACCUUUGCAUAUUUGAUACUGUACCCUGGCGCCGACACUGUGCGUCGCUUCGGGGCGACGACCUAGCCCACUCUCGCCCACUUUUCGCCAGACCCGGGUGGUACAAGUGCAACGCGUCGCUCACAAGGGACGCCCCAACAAAUAUUUGAAGAGAGGACAGAUUUAAAGCUUUAAUGACAUUUGAGCGAUGGAAGGGAUUGUUUUAAACUUAAAGCAUACAUAUUUUCAAUCAUGGUCGAUGCUCACUCGAAGACUUUACACCUCUUUCACUUACUCAAACCUCCAUCCACCUCUUCCUCAUAGAAAAUCAUCAAAACCCUUUUCUCAUCCCUUAUUUAGAAACCAGCUCCAUUAGCCCAAGUUGGUUCCAAUCUAGAUUUCAAAGAGCCAACCCAACCCCAAGUCCCAUCUAUUUAUCUCAAGAAAUUGCCAAAUGGGUGAUGCUAGAAGGCCUCCUGCUGUUCCCAUACCACCUGUUUUGAUUGCUGGAAAGGCCGAAGUGUUUAGGGCUCUUGAAGCUUCACUGGGAAAAUCCUUCAGUUCAAAGGAAUUGACACCACCGCCAAACCCUUUAAUCAUAGUCAUAAGGGGGCCUAGUGGGGUGGGCAAAGACUCUGUCAUCAAAAGAUUGAGGGAAGUUCAAGAGGGCAUUCAUUUUGUUGUCACGGCUAUGAGCAGGGCAAAGAGGCUCGGUGAGGUUGAUGGGAAAGAUUACUUCUUUGUUUCAAAAGAGGAGUUUCUUUCAAUGGUUGAUAGGGAUGAGCUUUUGGAGUCUGCCCUUGUCUAUGGAGAUUAUAAGAGGGUCCCAAAGCCACAUAUCAGUGAGUAUAUGUCAAAGGGGUAUGAUAUAGUUCUAAGGGUUGACAUACAAGGGGCAGCAAAACUAAAAUCCAUAUUUGGGAAUUCUGCAGUUUUCAUUUUCAUUGUCGCUGAGAAUGAAGCAGAGCUUGUGGAUCGGCUAAUCGAUCGGAAGAUGGAGACAAGUGACACUCUUCUUUUGAGGGUGAAGACAGCUCACGAGGAGAUGAAGCAUCUUAAGCAAUUUAAUUAUGAGGUUGUAAAUGCAAAAGGGAAGCUUGAGAGUGCAGUUAAGCUAGUGGAAUCCAAUAUUGAUGUGGAGAAAGCUAAAGUUCGGCAGAGAACUGCUGUGAUAUAGCCUAUGAAGAUCUUAUUGAGCUGUUGUGAUAUAGCCUAUGAAGAUCUUAUCCCUAUCAUUAAGGAAGAAGGAUAGUGUAUGCCUUUGAGCAAGACCCUGUUGCUGCUACUGCCAAUUUUGUGAAGCUUAGUGGCCAAUUUUUUAAAGCGAAGUUCCUUUUAAACAUCUGGCUUCAUUCGGUAGCAUAUUUUUGUUUGUGUAAUUCAAAGGUUGAACUGCUGAAAUUUGUGAGGAGCAUCAAAUUUUGUAACACUAUCUGGAAUGUUUAAAUUAUCAUUAUCAUCAACAGAACUAGAAUAAUAUCUAUUUAAAUAACAUUAUGUAUAAUUGCGAUUUUGCAAAUAAAAAUUUUUUU